AUACGGAGGGGGUUAGCGUUGUUCGGAAUUACUGGGCGUAAAGCGUACGUAGGCGGACUGGAAAGUUGGGGGUGAAAUCCCGGGGCUCAACCCCGGAACUGCCUCCAAAACUUCCAAUCUAGAGAUCGAGAGAGGUGAGUGGAAUUCCAAGUGUAGAGGUGAAAUUCGUAGAUAUUUGGAGGAACACCAGUGGCGAAGGCGGCUCACUGGCUCGAUACUGACGCUGAGGCGCGAAAGCGUGGGGAGCAAACAGGAUUAGAAACCCUAGUAGUCC
rnacentral:rRNA from 1 species